rnacentral:tRNA from 1 species
UGGGGGAUAGUUUAAUUGGCAGAACAGCGGAUUCUGGCUCCGCCAGUAGGGGUUCGAGUCCCUUUCCCCCAG